rnacentral:rRNA from 1 species
AGUGAACGCUGGCGGUAGGCCUAACACAUGCAAGUCGAACGGCAGCACAGUAAGAGCUUGCUCUUACGGGUGGCGAGUGGCGUACGGGUGAGGAAUACAUCGGAAUCUACUUUUUCGUGGGGGAUAACGUAGGGAAACUUACGCUAAUACCGCAUACGACCUACGGGUGAAAGCAGUGGAUCUUCGCACCUUGCGGGAUUGAAUGAGCCGAUGUCGGAGUAGCUGGUUGGCGGGGUAACGGCCCACCAAGGCGACGAUCCGUAGCUGGACUGAGAGGAUGGUCGGCGACACGGGAACUGAGACAGGGUCAAGAGUCCUACGGGAGGCAGCAGUGGGGAAUAUUGGACAGUGGGCGCAAGCCUGAUCCAGCCAUACCGCGUGGGUGAAGAAGGCCUUCGGGUUGGAAAGCCCUUUUGUUGGGAAAGAAAAGCAGCAGGUUAAUACCCCGCUGUUCUGACGGUACCCAAAGAAUAAGCACCGGCUAACUUCGUG